UGUAUCGGAAGCCUGACGAGGAUGAGAACCUCCGGGGGCAAGAGGUUCGACCCGAGCGAAGCGAGAGAACGUUGCGUCAGCAACGGCCCGCAGGGCGAGCCACGCAGUGGCGAGUCAUCCUCUAUCACCGGCAG
rnacentral:sRNA from 4 species